AUGGGGUGCAGCAGGCGCGAACACUUUACAAUGCGGGAAACCGCGAUAAGGGAACCCCGAGUGCCAGCAUCAAAUGUUGGCUGUCCAGAUGAUUAAAAAUCAUUUGUUAGCAAGGGCCGGGCAAGACCGGUGCCAGCCGCCGCGGUAACACCGGCGGCCCGAGUGGUAGCCGUUUUUAUUGGGUCUAAAGGGUCCGUAGCCGGCUUGAUAAGUCCUUUGGGAAAUCUGGCAGCUUAACUGUCAGGCUUCUAAGGGAUACUGUCAGGCUUGGGACCGGAAGAGGUAAGGGGUACUCCAGGGGUAGGAGUGAAAUCUUGUAAUCCCUGGGGGACCAUCUGUGGCGAAGGCGCCUUACCAGAACGGGUCCGACGGUGAGGGACGAAAGCUAGGGGAGCAAACCGGAUUAGAUACCCGGGUAGUCCUAGCUGUAAACGAUGCUCGCUAGGUGUCAGACACGGUGCGACCGUGUUUGGUGCCGCAGGGAAGCCGUUAAGCGAGCCACCUGGGAAGUACGGUCGCAAGGCUGAAACUUAAAGGAAUUGGCGGGGGAGCAC
rnacentral:rRNA from 1 species